AAGGACUUACUGGGUACCCAGGUAAGGACGGACGGGUCCGGUGCAUAAGGAACCCUAGUGUGAACGUUACCUCAGUCAGACAGGGUUGAGAAGUUCCUUACUGUUAAGAUUUGGGAGCUAUGGUUCGUCUUCAUACUAGACGGGACAUCAAGGUGGUGGAAUAUUUGACGUCCAUUACCGAACGAGGUACGGGGACGACCAAUUAAUUGUUUAAUUAAAUAUUGAAUUUAUGAGUAGGAGGACAUCCUUAUGGACCCCUAGGGGUAUCGGUAAGUGGGUAAAAAUAUAAAAUGAUCGUUUCUUAUCAUCUUAUAUGUGAUAAAUUAUAGUGUAUGAAUAUGAGUU
rnacentral:lncRNA from 1 species